rnacentral:rRNA from 1 species
AGAGUUUGAUCCUGGCUCAGAUUGAACGCUGGCGGCAGGCCUAACACAUGCAAGUCGAGCGGAUGAGGGGAGCUUGCUCCCUGAUUCAGCGGCGGACGGGUGAGUAAUGCCUAGGAAUCUGCCUGGUAGUGGGGGACAAUGUUCCGAAAGGAGCGCUAAUACCGCAUACGUCCUACGGGAGAAAGUGGGGGAUCUUCGGACCUCACGCUAUCAGAUGAGCCUAGGUCGGAUUAGCUAGUAGGUGGGGUAAUGGCUCACCUAGGCGACGAUCCGUAACUGGUCUGAGAGGAUGAUCAGUCACACUGGAACUGAGACACGGUCCAGACUCCUACGGGAGGCAGCAGUGGGGAAUAUUGGACAAUGGGCGAAAGCCUGAUCCAGCCAUGCCGCGUGUGUGAAGAAGGUCUUCGGAUUGUAAAGCACUUUAAGUUGGGAGGAAGGGCAGUAAGUUAAUACAUUGCU